rnacentral:rRNA from 1 species
GACGAACGCUGGCGGCGUGCUUAACACAUGCAAGUCGAACGGAAAGGCCCUGCUUUUGUGGGGUGCUCGAGUGGCGAACGGGUGAGUAACACGUGAGUAACCUGCCCUUGACUUUGGGAUAACUUCAGGAAACUGGGGCUAAUACCGGAUAAGAGCUCCUGCUGCAUGGUGGGGGUUGGAAAGUUUCGGCGGUUGGGGAUGGACUCGCGGCUUAUCAGCUUGUUUGUGGGGUAGUGGCUUACCAAGGCUUUGACGGGUAGCCGGCCUGAGAGGGUAACCGGCCACAUUGGGACUGAGAUACGGCCCAGACUCCUACGGGAGGCAGCAGUGGGGAAUAGUGCACAAUGGGCGGAAGCCUGAUGCAGCAACGCCGCGUGCGGGAUGACGGCCUUCGGGUUGUAAACCGCUUUCGCCUGUGACGAAGCGUGAGUGACGGUAAUGGGUAAAGAAGCACCGGCUAACUACGUG